rnacentral:sRNA from 1 species
CAGCUGUUAUUCCGGAGUAUUCAUGAUAAUCGCUAGUCACAUUUGGUUGCCAACAAACACGCUUGGGCCUGCGGCUAUUUUUAGAUUUUAGCCCUGGCACGGAUCACGAGGCUAAGUCGGGCCUUUUUUCAAGGGUUGAUGAUCUUGACACGAAGAUCAGUCAAUCAAAUGAUGAAUGACUGAUUGACUGACUGAAUGAAGGAAUGAUGGUGGAGAUGGAGGUGGAGGAUGCUGUGAGAGCUGGUUACCAGCCAAGGAGUCUAUGAAUCUCAUUUUGCAGUGAUGAUCAAUCAACCCUGAGAUAGAACGCGGUGGACAAUUUGAAACAAGGCAUGGCAUCAUCACCGCUUUUGUGAAGGAGUGUUCAAAGAAGUCUGCUGUGGAUGUCUCAUCUGCAUACGUACAGCUUUUGAGAACAACCAACCAAACAGAAAUAAAGACGCUGGAGACGAAGAUCCGCUAGGCCCUACGCCGAAUUAGCCAUAUUUCUCGCGACAGAACCUCUAUUGGUGGGCCUGGCGGGGGAAAGGAGAAAAUAAGUAGCUGUAUUGGCACUGAGGGUGCUCAGCCUUGUGGCUGAGUCCUGCAGGGAGAUGGAGACCAGGAAGAAGCCAUUCCCUUCGCCUGGUUCCUGCAUGGAGAAUCGCUGGACAACAGCCAUACUACUAAUGGAAAAGAAUAAGAACACUUGAGAUGGAACACUAACGAAGUAUGCCUUGCGACGCUAUACCCGGGGUCAUCCAUCCCGGCUGAUACUGCACAGGAGAAAGCUAUCUGGCUGAAGACUACUAGUAGAUAGGAUACGAGAAGAUAAAGCCAACCUGGCUGCUCUAGGGCACAGGGUCCGGAUGGCUCAGAACUACUAGUACUAGUAUCCAUGCACCACGGAACUUAGAUGUAGAAGAAGGACACCAAAUCAUGAUAAUCGCUGUAUACAAGCUGGCUGUGCGAAAUGAUGCAUUUUCUGCCUGAUGGAGUACAUGGAGUUGGCGGGGG